rnacentral:rRNA from 1 species
UACGAAGGGUGCAAGCGUUACUCGGAAUUACUGGGCGUAAAGCGUGCGUAGGUGGUUAGUUAAGUCUGUCGUGAAAGCCCCGGGCUCAACCUGGGAAUGGCGAUGGAUACUGGCUCGCUAGAGUGCGGUAGAGGAGAGUGGAAUUCCCGGUGUAGCAGUGAAAUGCGUAGAGAUCGGGAGGAACAUCAGUUGUGAAGGCGGCUCUCUGGACCAGCACUGACACUGAGGCACGAAAGCGUGGGGAGCAAACAGG